rnacentral:rRNA from 1 species
CCUANGGGGGGCUGCAGCGAGGGAUUUUGCGCAAUGGACGAAAGUCUGACGCAGCAACGCCGCGUGAGGGAUGAAGGCCUUAGGGUCGUAAACCUCUUUUGCAGGGGAAGAAGAUCUGACGGUACCCUGCGAAUAAGCCACGGCUAACUACGUGCCAGCAGCCGCGGUAAUACGUAGGUGGCAAGCGUUGUCCGGAUUUACUGGGCGUAAAGCGCGCGCAGGCGGCUUGUUAAGUCUGCUGUAAAAUCUCCCGGCUCAACCGGGAGGGGCCAGCAGAUACUGGCAGGCUUGAGGCAAGCAGAGGAAGGUGGAAUUCCCGGUGUAGUGGUGAAAUGCGUAGAUAUCGGGAGGAACACCAGUGGCGAAGGCGGCCUUCUGGGCUUGUCCUGACGCUGAGGCGCGAAAGCGUGGGGAGCGAACCGGAUUAGAUACCUUNUANUC